rnacentral:rRNA from 1 species
AGAGUUUGAUCAUGGCUCAGAACGAACGCUGGCGGCGUGCUUAACACAUGCAAGUCGAGUGCGCGCCUGUAGCAAUACAGGUGGCGCACGGCGCACGGGUGCGUAACACGUGGGCAAUCUGCCCUCUGAUGGGGAAUAACCCGCCGAAAGGGGGCUAAUACCGCAUAAAAUUCCUUGGACUCAUGUUCGAGGACUCAAAGGCGUAAGUCGUCGGAGGAGGAGCCCGCGCACGAUUAGCUAGUUGGUAGGGUAAUGGCCUACCAAGGCUUUGAUCGUUAGCUGGUCUGAGAGGAUGGCCAGCCACACUGGAACUGAGACACGGUCCAGACUCCUACGGGAGGCAGCAGUGGGGAAUCUUGCACAAUGGGCGAAAGCCUGAUGCAGCGACGCCGCGUGGGGGAUGAAGCAUUUCGGUGUGUAAACCCCUUUCGAUCCGGACGAAUACCUCGUAAGAGGGGUGACGGUACGGAUAUAAGAAGCCCCGGCUAACUACGUGCCAGCAGCCGCGGUAAGACGUAGGGGGCCAGCGUUGUUCGGAAUUACUGGGUGUAAAGGGUUCGUAGGCGGUGUGGCAAGUUGGGAGUGAAAUCUCUGGGCUCAACCCAGAGGCUGCUUCCAAAACUGCUGUGCUUGAGUGUGAGAGAGGCUCGUGGAAUUGCAGGUGUAGCGGUGAAAUGCGUAGAUAUCUGCAGGAACACCCGUGGCGAAAGCGGCGAGCUGGAUCACUACUGACGCUGAGGAACGAAAGCUAGGGGAGCAAACAGGAUUAGAUACCCUAGUAGUCC